rnacentral:rRNA from 1 species
AUGGGUACACUUGGUAUGCUAAGAUGUCGAAGAAUCAUUCAGUACAUCAUCUCAAUAUGGAAUGUCAUCUUAAAAAAUGGAUCUAUAUCUUUUUUGGACGACAAUAUAUGGGAACUAGAACAAGCGCCUGAAGCGAGCAGCCGGGCUAGACUGAAGCAACAAUGCAGGGCACGAGGCACUGGUGAAGAUGUGCACAGACGAGCACAUGCAGCAGUGGAAGGUGCUCCAUGGCGGCCACCGUGUCAUCGGGUACAUCGGAUGAUUCCCAGGGCUCCCAAGCUGCCGAGGCUGGUGGAGGACAUUGUGGAGAGUGUCGCCAAAUGUGGGUCUGUCCGGCUGUCACUACUGCUGGAUUGCGGUGCUGGUACACGGAGAUCAACGGGAAGGUGGCAAUCGCCGGGACCCACUUGA